rnacentral:lncRNA from 1 species
UUCUGUUUUUCAUAACGUUUUUGAUCCAUAUAUUUAGCCUGUGACCACGGGCCACACCCUGAGCCUUCUGGUAAACCUGAAGAGUGGUCCUUCUCAAUUUAUCUCCCAGCGAUGACCUUACACGCUCAUACUGUGAAUUUGGGAGGAGGUAAAAUUGACUUCUCCUCUUGGGCAGUUUUCCCAGCCACCUGGUGAGUAGACACCUGCAGUAUUGUUCACAACUUUUUUUUUUUUUACGACACCCUCUCUUCACUUUCUCUUCUCCCCUCUCCCACAGACUUCCCUCCCACUGGGUCCAGGGCAGAACCGAGACCUCUGUCCCUGGUGCUGCCCGACUGGCGACCGGUGACUUUAAGUAGGUUGUCUGACAUGCACAUUUCUUAUUUUGGUCCUCUUCUACUUCAGUGUCACUCACCUUUGACAAAGUGACUUUCUACUCAUUUAGGGCUCUGUCCGAAAUGCUUCCAUUUUGCCUUUUUUUACAUUUAGGCGAAUUUUGAAAUAUAUGAAAUUCUAUGCAACAUUUAUGUUGAGUUACCAAUGGAAGCCAAAAGUUUUCUUCCCAAACUGCCAAGAAUUAUACGGGCCAUAAAUGAGAUGGGGGUACCGUUUAAUUUAAGGGGGGGCGGGGUAGGGGUGGGACAGGAACAAGAACAAGAUUUGCCUAGACCUUUGUGGUAUCUUGGGGAUGUUUUUUAUUUUACUGUUGAUGCUUAAAUUUCAAAAUUCUGUGUAUUCAAAUUUGAUCGUGGCGAAUCUACUUCAAAAGAAAAAAAUAAUCUGACUUUGUGGAUACUAAAUGGAAGGUUUGCUGUUUUGAGCUAGUUGUUUCCAGUGGAGCAGUUUAUGAAAUAUGUUCUAUAAGAUGUACAUUUUUUCAUUGUAACAUAGAAAUUGUAAAUAAUUGAUUAAAGUGCUGCAUUUUGAUGAAUUUUUUCUAGCCAUUUUUAAAGAGAAAACUAGGAAUUGAGUAUUUUGUGUACGGUAUGUUUCCAUCUUCCCUCCCUGCCUUUGGCCCUCCCCCCACCACCUUCUGCCUUCCGCCCCCCUCCCUACCUUCCUCCCUCCCCCACCUCCCCACACCCCCCCCCCAGCCUUCCUCCCCUCCCCCUCCUUCUUCCUCCCUCCCCCCCUCCUUCCCUAUUUAAUUUUCAUUUGUCCUGAGGUUUUUGGAUUUGCCAACGAUCUGCUGGAGAUCAUGCCCCACGUCAUAGAGAAUAAAGCUGAUGAUUGUACCAGUCUUAAAUUAUUCAUGAUUCAAUAAAAUUUAUGC